rnacentral:ncRNA from 1 species
GGCUUUAGGGGUAUUCUGAAUAAGAAUUGAGACAAACCCUUUGAACCUGAUUCGGUUUAUACCGACGUAGGGAAAAGCAUUCA